rfam:Schistosoma mattheei strain Denwood, Zambia genome assembly, scaffold: SMTD_scaffold0010000
GCACUGCUAAAGAGUCCUACAAUAGAACGAAAUGGCCGUCCAGUGC